rnacentral:rRNA from 1 species
AUACGUAGGGGGCGAGCGUUGUCCGGAAUGAUUGGGCGUAAAGGGCGCGUAGGCGGCGCGGUAAGUCUGGAGUGAAAGUCCUGCUUUCAAGGUGGGAAUUGCUUUGGAUACUGCCGCGCUUGAGUGCAGGAGAGGUUAUCGGAAUUCCCGGUGUAGCGGUGAAAUGCGUAGAGAUCGGGAGGAACACCAGUGGCGAAGGCGGGUAACUGGACUGCAACUGACGCUGAGGCGCGAAAGUGUGGGGAGCAAACAGGAUUAGAUACCCUGGUAGUCCACACUGUAAACGAUGAAUGCUAGGUGUAAGAGGUAUCGACCCCUUUUGUGCCGCAGUCAACACAAUAAGCAUUCCGCCUGGGGAGUACGGCCGCAAGGUUGAAACUCAAAGGAAUUGACGGGG